rnacentral:rRNA from 1 species
UGGCAAACGGGAGAGGAACACAUUGGUAACCUACCUCUAAGACGGGGAUAGCCCGCCGAAAGGCGGAUUAAAACCCGAUAGCAAUGGGGGGUCAUAUGACAUUCCCAUUUAAAUAAUUUUUUGCUUAGAGAGGGGCCUAUGCCCUAUCAGCUAGUUGGUGAGGUAAUGGCUCACCAAGGCAAUGACGGGUAGCGGGUGUGAGAGCACGACCCGCCUCACUGGGACUGAGAUACUGCCCAGACUCCUACGGGAGGCUGCAGUCAAGAAUCUUCCGCAAUGCGCGAAAGCGUGACGGAGCGACGCCGCGUGCAGGAUUAAGGCCUUCGGGUUGUAAACUGCUUUUCUGUUUGAAGAAUUCGUGACGGUAAAACAGGAAUAAGAGGUCGCUAACUCUGUGCCAGCAGCAGCGGUAAUACAGAGACCUCGAGCGUUAUCCGGAUUCAUUGGGCGUAAAGCGUCCGCAGGUGGCUUGGUAAGUCAAUGGUUAAAUCCCGAGGCUCAACUUCGGGGCCGCUGUUGAUACUGUCAAGCUUGAGGCUGGGAAAGGCAAGCGGAACUACCGGUGUAGUCGUAAUAAGCGUUGAUAUCGGUAGGAACACCAAAGGCGAAGGCAGCUUGCUGGAACAUGCCUGACACUCAGGGACGAAAGCGUGGGUAGCGAAUAGGAUUAGAUACCCUAGUAGUCCACGCCCUAAACGAUGCGCACUAGAUAUUGGAAGUAUCGACCCUUUCAGUGUCGUUGAAAAAAGCUAACGCGUUAAGUGCGCCGCCUGGGGAGUACGGCCGCAAGGCUAAAACUCAAAGGAAUAGACGGGACCCGCACAAGCGGUGGAACAUGUGGUUUAAUUCG